UUUCGCAAUGCCCGAAAGGGUGACGAAGCGACGCCGCGUGUGGGAAGAAGGCCUUCGGGUUGUAAACCACUGUCGGGAGUUAGGAAAUGCAGGUGCGUUAAUAGCGCACUUGCUUGACUAAGGCUCCAGAGGAAGCCACGGCUAACUCUGUGCCAGCAGCCGCGGUAAUACAGAGGCGGCAAGCGUUGUUCGGAAUUAUUGGGCGUAAAGAGCACGUAGGCGGCCUUGCAAGUCAGUUGUGAAAGCCUUCCGCUUAUCGGAAGAACGGCAUCUGAUACUACAGGGCUUGAGUACGGGAGGGGAGAGUGGAACUUCUGGUGGAGCGGUGAAAUGCGUAGAUAUCAGAAGGAACGCCGGCGGCGAAAGCGGCUCUCUGGUCCGUAACUGACGCUGAGGUGCGAAAGCCAGGGGAGCAAACGGGAUUAGAUACCCCGGUAGUCCUGGCCGUAAACGAUGGGCACUAAGUAGAGGGGUUUU
rnacentral:rRNA from 1 species